rnacentral:rRNA from 1 species
CCUACGGGAGGCAGCAGUAGGGAAUCUUUCACAAUGGGCGAAAGCCUGAUGGAGCAACGCCGCGUGCAGGAUGAAGGCCUUCGGGUUGUAAACUUCUUUUAUCAGCGAGAAAUAUGAUGGUAACUUAUGAAUAAGGAUCGGCUAACUACGUGCCAGCAGCCGCGGUCAUACGUAGGAUCCGAGCAUUAUCCGGAGUGACUGGGUGUAAAGAGUUGCGUAGGUGGCAUAAUAAGUAGCCAGUGAAAUCUGGUGGCUCAACCAUUCAGACUAUUAGCUAAACUGUUAAGCUCGAGAACGUUAGGGGUAACUGGAAUUUCUAGGGUAGGAGUGAAAUCCGUAGAUAUUAGAAGGAACACCAAGAGCGUAGGCAGGUUACUGGGACGGUUCUGACACUAAGGCACGAAAGCGUAGGGAGCAAACGGGAUUAGAUACCCCUGUAGUC